GGAGACAACAAAAUGUAAUAUAAUUUUGUCACCUUAGGUCGAUCGGUAUCUCAGAUUCUUAAUUUUAAGAAUUUCAGUUUCUAAGUUUUUCUAGGUCACACCCAUCACUUUUUCAUGGGCCAUUAGCUCAGGUGGUUAGAGCGCACCCCUGAUAAGGGUGAGGUCCCUGGUUCAAGUCCAGGAUGGCCCAUAUCUCUAUGUUGGGGGUAUAGCUCAGUUGGUAGAGCGCCUGCUUUGCAAGCAGGAUGUCAGCGGUUCGAGUCCGCUUACCUCCACUGAAUACCACUCUCACAUAUUUUUAAUGAGGGAAAUUGUUAGUGUUGUGUCCUAUUUCCUCUGAAUGAAUCUAGCUUCCUAUUUUUACCAAAAUAAAUAAGAUGCUGGACUCAUUGAAUUUCAAUUCAUUGUUUUCAGAGAACCUUGACAACUGCAUAGAUUAUUUUUGAAGACAAUAAGCAUCUUUAAUGAUGCAGAUUUAUUAUUUGUGCUAAUGCAUUAAAUAACAAUUCUAUUAAGCUGAUGCUUCAAUAUAUUGAAGUUAUUGGUCAAGCUACAA
rnacentral:tRNA from 1 species